ensembl:snRNA predicted gene, 22666
GUAUUCACCUGAAAGAGGAGAUACCAGGAUCAAGAAGGUGGUUUUCACAGAGUGAGACUUCCCCACUGCACUCUAGGUGUGCUGACCCCUGAGAUUUCCUGAGGUGUCAGGUAGGGAAAUAAACUAUGAGAAGGUGAGAAUGAAAACUUAAUUCAAAUUGAUUC